ACGGGAGGCAGCAGUGGGGAAUAUUGCACAAUGGGCGCAAGCCUGAUGCAGCGACGCCGCGUGAGCGAAGAAGUAUUUCGGUAUGUAAAGCUCUAUCAGCAGGGAAGAUAAUGACGGUACCUGACUAAGAAGCUCCGGCUAAAUACGUGCCAGCAGCCGCGGUAAUACGUAUGGAGCAAGCGUUAUCCGGAUUUACUGGGUGUAAAGGGAGUGCAGGCGGCAGAUUAAGUCUGAUGUGAAAACCCGAGGCUCAACCGCGGGAUUGCAUUGGAAACUGAUCAGCUAGAGUGUCGGAGAGGCAAGCGGAAUUCCUAGUGUAGCGGUGAAAUGCGUAGAUAUUAGGAGGAACACCAGUGGCGAAGGCGGCUUGCUGGACGAUUACUGACGCUGAGGCUCGAAAGCGUGGGGAGCAAACAGGAUUAGAUACCCUGGUA
rnacentral:rRNA from 1 species